rnacentral:rRNA from 1 species
CGGUAGGCUUAACACAUGCAAGUCGUGCGAGAAGUACCUUCGGGUGCGAGUAGAGCGGCGGACGGGUGAGUAACGCGUAGGAAUCUACCUAGUAGAAGGGGAUAGCCCGGGGAAACUGGGAUUAAUACCGUAUACCUCCUUAUGGAGAAAGAGGGCUUAGCUUUGAUGCUCUCGCUAUUAGAUGAGCCUGCGUAAGAUUAUCUUGUUGGUGAGGUAAUGGCUGACCAAGGCGACGAUCUUUAGAUGGUUUGAGAGGACGAUCAGCCACAUUGGGACUGAGACACGGCCCAGACUCCUACGGGAGGCAGCAGUUGGGAAUAUUGGACAAUGGGCGCAAGCCUGAUCCAGCCAUACCGCGUGUGGAAGAAGGCUUUCGGGUUGUAAAGCACUUUAAGUAAGGAGGAAAAGAUUGUAGUUAAUACCUGCAAUCCGUGACGUUACUUACAGAAUAAGGACCGGCUAAUUCCGUGCC